rnacentral:rRNA from 1 species
AUUGAACGCUGGCGGCAGGCCUAACACAUGCAAGUCGAACGAGUGGCGGACGGGAGAGUAAUGUCUGGGAAAAUGCCAGAGGGAGGGGGAUAACUAAUGGAAACGGUAGCUAAUACCGCAUACCAGCAGAUGCGCCCAGAUGGGAUUAGAUUGUUGGGGGGGGAACGGCUCACCAAGUCGACGAUCCCUAGCUGGUCUGAGAGGAUGACCAGCCACCUUGGAACUGAGCCACGGUCCAGACUCCUACGGUAGGCAGCAGUGGGGAAUAUUGCACAAUGGGCGCAAGCCUGAUGCAGCCAUGCCGCGUGUAUGAAGAAGGCCUUCGGGUUGUAAAGUACUUUCAGCGGGGAGGCGUUACCCGCAGAAGAAGCACCGGCUAACUCCGUGCCAGCAGCCGCGGUAAUAC